rnacentral:rRNA from 1 species
GUAGGGGGCAAGCGUUAUCCGGAUUUACUGGGUGUAAAGGGAGCGCAGGCGGCGCGGUAAGUCUGAUGUGAAAGCACGGGGCUCAACCCCGGGACUGCAUUGGAAACUGUCGUGCUGGAGUGUCGGAGGGGCAAGUGGAAUUCCUAGUGUAGCGGUGAAAUGCGUAGAUAUUAGGAGGAACACCAGUGGCGAAGGCGGCUUGCUGGACGACAACUGACGCUGAGGCUCGAAAGCGUGGGGAGCAAA